rnacentral:rRNA from 1 species
AUUGAACGCUAGCGGGAUGCUUUACACAUGCAAGUCGAACGAGAGGAGGACGGGUGAGUAAUAUAUCGGAACGUGCGCAGUAGAGGGGGAUAAGUAAUCGAAAGAGUGGCUAAAACCGCAUACGAUUGGAGCGGUCGAUAUCGGAUUAGGUAGUUGGUGGGGUAAAGGCUCACCAAGGCAACGAUCCGUACCUGGUUGGAGAGGAAGACCGGCCACACUGGGACUGAGACACGGCCCAGACGCCUACGGGAGGCAGCAGUGGGGAAUUUUGGACAAUGGGGGAAAGCCUGAUCCAGCCAUCCCGCGUGUAUGAGAAGGUCUUCGGGUUGUAAAGUACUUUAGGCAGAGAAGCGGUAUCUGAAGAAUAAGCACCGGCGAACUACGUGCCAGCAGCCGCGGUAAUUC